rnacentral:rRNA from 1 species
AAUCAACGCUGGCGGCGUGCCUCAGACAUGCAAGUCGAACGAUUAAAGCUCUCUUCGGAGAGUGUAUAGAGUGGCGCACGGGUGAGUAACACGUAAGUAAUCUACCCUCGAGUGGGGAAUAACAACCGGAAACGGUUGCUAAUACCGCAUAAUGCAGCGGCACCGCAAGGUGACAGUUGUUAAAGAUUUAUCGCUUGAGGAGGAGCUUGCGGCAGAUUAGCUAGUUGGUAGGGUAACGGCUUACCAAGGCUACGAUCUGUAACCGGUCUAAGAGGACGGUCGGUCACACUGACACUGAAUAACGGGUCAGACUCCUACGGGAGGCAGCAGUCGGGAAUUUUGGGCAAUGGGCGAAAGCCUGACCCAGCAACGCCGCGUGAAGGAUGAAGUAUUUCGGUAUGUAAACUUCGAAAGAAUAGGAAGAAUUAAUGACGGUACUAUUAUAAGGUCCGGCUAACUACGUG